rnacentral:rRNA from 1 species
UUUGAUCUCAAAUCAGGUAGGACUACCCGCUGAACUUAAGCAUAUCAAUAAGCGGAGGAAAAGAAACUAACAAGGAUUCCCCUAGUAACUGCGAGUGAAGCGGGAAGAGCUCAAAUUUAAAAUCUGGCAAUCCUUGUGGUUGUCCGAGUUGUAAUCUAGAGAA